GAUGCUGUGAUGAGAUGAAAGCACCAUAGGGGUGUUUGAUGGCAGUGGCGUCGCCGUGAGCCCUGAUCAUUAACGACUUCUCCUUCCACUGAGCUCC
rfam:Punica granatum cultivar Dabenzi scaffold59, whole genome shotgun sequence.